GGGUAAGCAAAUACUCUUUGGUAAGUUUUUAUAAUUAUUUGUUUUUUUGUUCUUUUUUUUUUGGCAAACAAUAAGAGAGAUUUUAUUGAUAUCGAAUAGUAAGGUUUACAUCUUUAGCUAAAGUAUCAAAUAGCUGAUCGGUGCGUACCUUAUCUCACCGGUGAGUACCCCUUACUCAAGAUACAAAGGAUGCAACCAAGUGUGCUGCAUCAUUGCAUUGUAGUGGCCCGAAAGUAAACUCUACUAAACCAAAAGAACUACAUAAGUACCUAAUAUCAUGAAUUAACCCUUCUAAGGUAAUAUCAAGUGUGUCCUUGUCUUGUAACAUUUUAAUAAGCUGUUGACAAUCAGUUUCUACCAUAACUUUGUCGACCCCUAC
rnacentral:lncRNA from 1 species